rnacentral:ncRNA from 1 species
GGGAGCCGGAUGCGGUGAAAGUCGCACGUCCGGAUCUGACGCCGGGCUGAUGGGGUAACCCACAGUCUAGGUUAACAACAAUAUUGCUAAGGCAC